GCUGGCUUGUCAUGUUUUGGAUUUUUUGUCAGAUUUUCGGAAUCCUCUGGUUUUAUCCAUUUGAAUGCCUUGCAAAAAUUUUCCCGGUGACCCCCAAAUUUCUUUUUGUAAAUCUUUUACGUGUAUAAUAAUAAGCCAUCUGUAAAAGUCUUAUAAAAUUUUAAUUACUUUUUAACAGUUUGAGAACUUCACCUUGUCAAAUACUAAAGCUAUGAAAAGUCUAGAGAGAAUAUUUUCCCGCCAAAAUUUCAAUGGCUAAUAUCUCGAAAACAAGCACGGUGACCUAUAUAUUUUU
rnacentral:lncRNA from 1 species